CAGCUCCUCUUACCCUCAUCAAACUCCGCGAGUGGGUGAAAUCUAAACGAUUGAUCAGAAGAACCGGCUUAUUAGUAACUAAAACUCUCAUAGCCUACACUCCAUCGCCGGACGAGAGCGGACACCAUGAAGCCAUGAUAGAGAAACAUGCCUCUGGCCCAGCAAGCACACACGCACACAAGCCAUGUCAACCGAUCAAAUCACAAAAACAGACUCCUAGCACUCUAGCAGCAGCAUCACAACAACGAAUCUCAGUUUACUGCAGUUACUGUCAUUUAUUUACCUACUACACUGCUGGCAGAAGCGC
rnacentral:misc_RNA from 1 species